AACACCUCAACUCCCCUUUCUUUUUUGAAAUGGGAGCUGGACUUGAGUGAUCCCAACGCUUUUCUCACCGAAAAGUGGCGGGUUACUUGAAAUGCAGGUAGGUGCAGCUGGACUUUUCUCUGAGCUAAAAGCAUAUCUAUUUAGUCUGCCUAAAAAACAGAUUAUUACCUUUGCUGCAGCUAACAUAAAGGAGAUUAGUUCUUGUGCUGACUGAUGCAUGAUUCACAGAGACAGCUUCGGCUGGCUUUGUAA
rnacentral:misc_RNA from 1 species